rnacentral:rRNA from 1 species
UGCAGUCGAGCGAGAAAGUCCUUCGGGGCCAGUAAAGCGGCGCACGGGUGAGUAACACGUAGGUAAUCUACCCUUGGGUGGCGGACAACCUUCCGAAAGGAAGGCUAAUACGGCAUGAUGCCAGCAAUGGCCAAAGCGGGCCUCUUUAUAAAAGCUCGCGCCUGGGGAUGAGCCUGCGGCCCAUCAGGUAGUUGGUAGGGGUAACGGCCCACCAAGCCAUAGACGGGUAGCUGGUCUGAGAGGAUGAACAGCCACACUGGAACUGAGACACGGUCCAGACUCCUACGGGAGGCAGCAGUCGGGAAUCUUCCGCAAUGGGCGAAAGCCUGACGGAGCGACGCCGCGUGAGCGAUGAAGGUCUUCGGAUUGUAAAGCUCUGUGGGGAGGGAAGAAUAAGGGUGUCUUAAUACGGCAUUUGAUGACGGUACCUCCUUAGCAAGCACCGGCUAACUCUGUGCCAGCAGCCGCGGUAAGACAGAGGGUGCAAACGUUGUUCGGAUUUACUGGGCGUAAAGCGCGUGUAGGCGGCUUGGUAUGUCGGAUGUGAAAGCCCACGGCUCAACCGUGGAAGUGCAUUCGAAACUGCCAGGCUAGAGUUCUGGAGAGGAAGGUGGAAUGGUUGGUGUAGAGGUGAAAUUCGUAGAUAUCAACCGGAACACCUGCGGCGAAGGCGGCCUUCUGGACAGUAACUGACGCUGAGACGCGAAAGUGUGGGGAGCAAACAGGAUUAGAUACCCUGGUAGUCCACACCGUAAACGAUGGGUGCUAGGUGUCACGGGCUUUGACCCUCGUGGUGCCGCAGCUAACGCAAUAAGCACCCCGCCUGGGGAGUACGGCCGCAAGGCUAAAACUCAAAGGAAUUGACGGGGGCCCGCA